rnacentral:rRNA from 1 species
GUGCUUAACACAUGCAAGUCGAACGAGAACGGCUCUUAGCUUGCUAAGAGUGUCAGCUAAGUGGCGCACGGGUGAGUAAUGUAUAGCUAACGUGCCCCUUGGAGGGGGAUAACGGCUGGAAACGGCCGCUAAUACCCCAUACUCCUUCACGAGUAAUGUCGUGUCGGGAAAUGGAUUACCGCCAAGGGAUCGGGCUAUAUCGUAUCAGCUAGUUGGUGGGGUAAAGGCCUACCAAGGCGAUGACGCGUAGCGGGUCUGAGAGGAUGAUCCGCCACACUGGAACUGAGACACGGUCCAGACUCCUACGGGAGGCAGCAGUGGGGAAUAUUGGGCAAUGGGCGCAAGCCUGACCCAGCAACGCCGCGUGGAGGAUGACGCCCUUCGGGGUGUAAACUCCUUUUAUCAGGGAAGAUGA